rnacentral:tRNA from 1 species
GGUGGCUCAGUGGUAAAGUGCUUGCCUUGCAUGCAAGAGACCCUGGGUUCGAUUCCUCAGCACCA